AGUUCAGCACGAGUCGUCGAGAAGGUGUGUCCUUCAAACGAUUGCGCUUACGCCAUGUCUAUAUGGACCUGUGUGGUCAUAUAAAUGACCUGUGUGGUCAUAGAACUGUACUGUGUGGUGGUACCGUUCUGUGUAUUGGUGGUGCCGUUUAUUCUGUGUGAAACCCCGUGUGGUUAUAUAACUCUCCUAUAUGGUUGUGCUAUACUGGGUGUUGGUGGUGCUGUUCUGUGUGAAAUCCUGUGUGGAAGGACAGUGACCUCUGAUGUGUACUCACUGAGGCGAUUCAUGUAAUCCAUCUACUGGUUCUGCCUGCUUGUACUGUAUGUGAGUGUUCCUGUACUACUAGCAUUGCCAAAGUCUACUUCUACUACAUUUGCCAGCGUAUUAUACCUGGAUGAGGCAUAAUGAGAAAUCUCUGAAAUGCGAGUUACAACUACGGAUACCAAGUGGUGAUAUAAACAACAUGUGCACGUAUCCUUAUCAUGUGUGCGCAUCGCAUUGUGAACCAAUGUCCCAUUGAACGUUCUAUUUACCUGUAUACUGGUCACGGUUUUCAUCAAAUAGACUGUUUAUCUUAAAGCAAAGUA